rnacentral:rRNA from 1 species
UGAAAGAUGAUCAGGUAGAUAGGCUAGGAGUGGAAGUACAGCGAUGUAUGGAGCGGACUAGUACUAAUCGGUCGAGGACUUAACCAA